rnacentral:misc_RNA from 1 species
UCCGAGUUGACCCCGGCAGUCUCCUGUGAGUCCCCAUCACCCCGAAAGGCAUGCUGGCAACACAGAACAAGGGUUGCGCUCGUUGCGGGACUUAACCCAACAUCUCACGACACGAACUGACGACAGCCAUGCAGCACCUCGCUACCAGUCCGAAGAAGGGCCCCUUUCAGGAGCGGUCGCCGGUGAUUUAGCCCAGGUAAGGUUCUUCGCGUUGCAUCGAAUUAAGCCACAUGCUCCACCGCUUGUGCGGGCCCCCGUCAAUUCCUUUGAGUUUCAUUCUUGCGAACGUACUCCCCAGGUGGCAUGCUUACUGCGUUAACUGCGUCACUGCCCCCUAAGGGGCAACAACUAGCAUGCAUCGUUUACAGCGUGGACUAC